UCAGCAAAGCAUUUUUAAAGGCCAGCUGAGGGAGAGGGAUCGGAGGAUCAGUCAUGCGCAAUUCUCUGAUGGGUUGAUGGUGAGGUAACAGGCUGGUGUCACAGGGGUUAAGUCCCAGUCUUUCGGUUCCUGUAGGCCCGGAGGCCAUAUGCUCAUUGUCAUCAAGUAGUUAAUGUCUCCCAUUUGUGGGGGUUUUCACAUCUAUAAAACUUAGGAAAUGUGCAUCAGAUAUUGUUGGCUGGGUACUUCAGAGAGGAGCUAAAGCAGAGCUUAUGGGGAAGGAAAGCCCCAUAGGGUCCUGCUCUGUUACACUAUCUCUGUAACUAAGUCUGGUGUCACUAAUGCCUUGCCUCCUGCAGCUGUUCUUUCUGUCCUACACUCUUGCAGAUAUGCUCAUUUCCUUGAUUUUUCCCAAACACCCUUCAUACAAGCCAUUUGUGCAUCAAACUUACCAAAUAGUUGACAAAAUAGAUACACACACGCACAACGGAAACUUUUGAAAACCAAAUAUUAGACACUCCUUGUAUCAAUCAGGGUCAAGUUAGGAAAAUAGAAAGCACACUAGACAUUUUAACAGAGGUAACAUAAUAUAGGGAAUUAACUGAACAGGAAUUGGAGGUAAGCAACUGAAUGUACAAAUGAAUCAUGGCCUGUCCAUACAUGACAACAGAACUGACCAUCAACCUCUGAUCAAUCUCUGACGGCAAUCAGCCCAGGAUAAUCAGGACUUGACCAAGGAUUGCUUGUUUCCAUUUUUUUUUUAAUUUAUUUUAUUUUAUUUUUUACUGUCCCCUUUGGAGAGCAUAGCCCAAGCUAAAUAUGCUCCCCUUAACAGUAAGACACCCUGCUUCCAGCUAGCCUGCCUCCAGCUUCCCCAUCCCAAUAACCUGCAGUCAAAACAUGCCCCAAACCUUCCCCCAUUUUUCAUUAUGAAGAUUUUCCACUCUUCAGUCUGCCUUUGAGUCUCUGCCAAGGGCAGGUGAUGGUGACUGCCUUAUUGCUCUGUGGCAAACUCUGAAUAAACAGCCUUUGUUCAUUCUCAUCUGGGUGUUCUUUGUUUAUUUCCACAAUGAAAUGAAAAAAAAAAAAAAGCAGUUAACACUGAGGUGAUACAAAGAUUAGAAACACUGCAAGCAGUCAAGACCCUAGGAGUGGAGGGAAAAACGACUGAUGCUGAAACUAACAGUAUUAACGGCCUGAACCUAGCCAGAACACAGAUUGGGACAUGAACCCACAUGCCAAGACUUGAACCCAGCCUAAACCCAGAUUGGGACUUUAACCCAAGGUGUUAAAUUAGUAUCACUCACCCUGUGUCUGCACUCACUGAGGUUCAGGUUCUUCAUGUCUCCACACAGAAGGAAUUCAGCGAAAGACAGAGUGAUAGGCAAGAAACAGAUUUAUUAAGAUAGGACGCUUGUGAGAGAUGCAAGCAGGCAGGCUCUGAAGCUCUGCCCCGAGGAUCCAGUGGGCUACAGUUUUGUCAUCCAGGGAGAGAGGGGUUUGGAAAAUCCUGCCUCUUCCUUUCUGGGAGUAGGAGCUCCUCCUUAGUAUCAGGUCAGGUGUGUAUUCAAAUCCGCAGAAGGGUGGUCCUCAAACUCUUGGUCUGAAUAUGAAUGCAGGCCUUAUCCCAUCCCCACCCAAGGACCUGGGGCAAUUCUCAAGGUUCUACUAAUGAAGCAAGCCUGCCUUGUGCUGACGGUUUUCUUGAGCAAUUAACUUACAGUGAUCUCCCAGCGUCUCCUAAGUUUCCCUCUUUAGAUAUGGUCGCUUAUCGGGACUUCUACAACUCCCUGUGCCUGCUCCAUCCCUAUCAAUAUCAGAGCCUAGAAGCUCAGAUCCCAGGAGAUGGGAGAGACCAUGUGACUGUUGCAAGCAAAUCAGAAUCUUGCAGAGGGUAGGGUUUACCUCCAGUGAUCAGCCAGCCGAAGAAAGGAUGCAGUCCCUAGUGCUGGCGCAUCUAAGAAGGUGCAAGGAGGCUGGUUCUGGAAGUGCCAAAGGGUAGAGACUCAAGCGAGUGCCUCUAUUUGGGUGAAGGGCUUUGUCAGCAGAAGCUUACAGAAACAGCAAAUGGGCUCACGAAUAGCAAGCAAAGAGGAAGGAGAGAGUCCCCAGACUCCUGGCAAUGCCUAACAGAGGCAACUGACAAAGGGAAAUGUACUCUGCAGCAUUCAGGCAUCAGCAUAGCAAAACAGAGGAUGGAAGGGCAACAAGGGAAACACUCACUUCAUAAUUGACAUUCUUCUGUCCUAAAAGAAUUGCAGCCACCCCAAAGACAUUGUUUUGCUUUCUCUUCCACUGUUUUUUGUUUUUUAUUUUCCUCCUCCCUUCCUGGGUCAUCUUUAUUUUCUCCAACCUCAUAAGAAACUUGACUUUUUCUUCAUUAUCUUCUUCUAGGUCCUGGGAGGCUCAAUGUUUGCAUCCUAAAUCAGCCAGUGGAGGUAUUUUGCUUUACAAAAAGUCUUUGGCUCUAGAGGGAAGUUAUACCAGUCCCUUGGGGAAUGGUAGCAGCUGCCACCAAUAGGAAUUUCUAAAAGGCUUUUUGUCCUUAUUCACUUUGUUAUGCAUGUUUCCAUGAUAUCUGUACAUAAGGGCUGGCAGAUGCUAGGGUGACUGCAAAGGUGAGGUUUCUAGAAGGAGGUGGGCAUUUUGCAGUGUUUUACUGUGGGAAACAGCAUGUUUAACAAAGGUGAGGGCAUGAAGAUUCAGUGGCUGGGGAGCAUAAGUACAUGCCUAUACAGGGAAUUUCAGGAAAACUCAGAGAUUCCUUUCCUGCAGAAGAAUGUUUUCUUCUGUUUACUUUUUUGAGUAAUAUAAUUUGCAAAAGUAAUAUAUAGCCAUCAAAAACAACAACAAAAUAAAACAUAUGUUAUUUUGUAAGGGAGUAAAAAUCCUCCUUCAUUCUCCAUUAUUUCUGUCUCCCAGGUGUGGCCACUCUUUAUUGCUUGGUGUACUCUUUUAAGCUUUUUUUUUUUUUUUCUUUUUUAAUGUACAGUACACCUACACACUGACUCUGGGUUUGGCCACAUGACUUGCUUGCAAAAGAGAUGAUAGUAAGUCUGACACAAGUAAGAGUUUGAAAAACACUUGUGCACUUGGGUCUGCUUCUCUUGCUGCUGGUAAUCUUUCCACCAUCAUGUGAACAAGCCUAGGCUGGCUUCCUGAAGGAUGAGCGACCACUUGAAGAGAGACCCUGGACUCCCUAACCACCCCUGCCAUUCCAGAAGAUGCCCAGACAUGUGAGUAAGCUUAUUCUAGAUCAUCCAUCUUCAUCUGAAUCAGAACGACAUCCAAACUAAUCCACGGAAUUAUGAGAACUAAUACGUUUUAAAUAACUGAGUUUUUAAAUUGAAACAGGAAGGAAGAGGGCAGAGCACAACCUUUAAAAGAAUGACAUAGCCCUUGAGGAUAGGACAAAAUCUAGUUAGAACCCAUUAGGUCCAAAUGGAGAAAGAUUUCACUUCUAGUGGACCUUGGGUCUCAUUAUACCAUUAUAUCCUCAUUGUAAUGCAUUAGUUAAGUGACACUCACAGGUGCCAUGGCAAUUCCCAGGCUGACCAUUAAAGGCUGAAAUGUGGGUGGUGGCUCAGUUCCUGAAAAUCCCCUCCCUUCCCUGAAAUAGUUGGGAUAAUCCUCCCACUUGUUAGUCUAUGAACUUACCCAACCCAUAAAAACUAACCACCUCAUGUUUCGGGGCUACUCUCUUGCCCUUUUAUCUCCCAGGGCUUCUCAUCUUCUGAGAUGGCCCACAUUCUAACUAUGGAGUGUCUCUGUCAACAAAUCUACUUCUUACCUACCACUUUGCCUCUUCCUGAAUACCUUCUGAGCUGAGACAUAAAGAACCUGAGCUUCAGCAAGUCCUGAGACCAGGUAUACAACUUCAGUUAAAAGACAAUGGGUUCAAGUCCCAGUCUGAGCUGUGCAGUUUCAAAAUGGUUUGCAACCAUUUUGUAGUAGAAGGUAGCUCAUAGAGAUAGGUAGUUUGAGAUGGAAAAAAUUUACAUGUAGGGGCAGAAAUAGAUUUAUAUUUAUAUACAGACAGAUAAUACAGGUUUAAAAAUAUUUUUAUUCAUAAUCACCUGAGUACUUUAUGACUACAUUCUUUAAAAACCCCAAAGACU
rnacentral:lncRNA from 1 species